CUCACCGAUAAACUCUCUGUCUGCGAACACAUUCACAAUACGGUCUUUACCAAAAAUGGCUAUAAAGCGUUGAAUCAAAGCAAUACGCUCUUUCGUAUCUGAAUUUCCACGUUUAUUAAGCAAUGUCCAAAGGAUAGGUAUCGCUAUUCCACGAUAAACGAUUGCGAGCAUCAGGAUAUUAAUAUUUCGUUUUCCCCAUUUCCAAUUGGUUCUAUCUAAAGUCAGUUGCACUUGGUCGAAUGAAAACAUAUUGAAAAUCAACUGAGAAAUUUGACGAUAAUCAAAAUACUGACCUGCAAAGAAGCGCUGCAUACGUCGAUAAAAUGAUUG
rnacentral:rRNA from 1 species